GGGCCUGAUUAGGGCCCCUCCCGCUGGCGGCCGCGGGCGCUUUGAAGUGAGCCGCUGCCGGGCCGCUCCGGCCGCCUGGCCGUCCCUGCCGCCAGGCCGUCGGUCCGGGGCUGGCGGCGGGGCCGGCGGCGCGUGUUUAUCCAGGUACCACCAGGAGGCCUGGCAUCAUCAGAAUCUUAUUAGAAAUGUAGAAUCUCAGGCCCCUCCCCAGACCUGCAGAGUGAAAUCUGUAUUUUAAAAGAUCCCUGGUGAAUUGGACACGCAAUAAAGUUUGAGGACGCUAACAUCUGGUUAAAAGUCUGCUAUUGCCACUGUGUGGGAACCUGUCUUUGGGAAGCUGCACCUCCUUCAUCGCAUUGGCAAGAGCUGAGCCUUCUCCAUCAGACCAGCUAUGCUUCCAGAGCAGAGGCUGUGCUUCUGGGAUCUUCCCGAGGACAGGGAUUGAUCCUCCCCAAUCAAACUGGGAAUCUGGCAGAAGCAGAGGUGGUUCUUGGUCGCAGGCCAGAAGCUCGCCUGAAGCUUGUGGUGCCACCCCCGUCUGACUGGCAGUCCCCAGGAUCCCCUGUGAAACUUGGCUGGCUUUGGGGUCGAGAGCCACCUGCAAGGAGAGGUAUCUGUUCGCGUUUUCCAAGAGGAUGGAGAAGCCAGAGCGGAGAGAUGGGCCUGUGUUGCGAUUCUGGCCAGUGAAGCAUGAGAAAAAAUCAGGGAAGGGGCCCUCCUUGGCUUAAAAUGAGGCUCAAGGUCUCCUAAUGUCUGGCUUAAUAGAAGACAGCUGGGUUCUCAUAUUGGCUUCUGCGUUCAAUUUGUUCCAAUAUCCCAUGUCAUGAAGCCCCUGGAAAACUCCGCUGUGCAAAUCCUGGGAGAACGAGAGUGAGAAAAGCACCGGCCAUCGCGGGAUUUGUAUUAGUUUUCUGUGGCUGCUGUAACAAAUGACUGUAACCUUGGUGACUGACAGCAGAAAUGUAUUCGCACAGUUCUGGAGGCCGCGAGCCUGACGUCCAGGAGUUACCAGAGCUGUGUGGUUCCCAGAGACUCUAGGGGAGAACCUGGUCCUUCCCUCUGCUGGCUUCUGGUGGCUGUCCAUGUCCCUAGGCUUGUGGCUGUGUCACUUCAUUCUCUGCCUCCAUUUUCAUAGCACUGUGUUUAUCUUAUGACAUUUGUCAUUGGAUUCAGGGCCCACCCAGAUCAUCUGGGCUUAUCUCCUCAACUCAAAAUCCUUAAUUGUAUCUGCAAAGACCUUUUUUUUUUUUUUUUUUGCAAAGAAGUUUCUAUUCAGUUUCUGGGGAUUAGGACAUGGGCCUAUCAUUUUGGGGACCACCAUUCAACCCACUACAGUAUUAUCACAAAAAUAAUUCAGCCUGUGGAACCCCUGAAAGAGUCGUGGGGACCCCUGGGGUCACACUUUGGAAACCAGGGAUCUAUGACUUCCACACAUAUAUAAGUAGGCAGAUGGUGGAAGGAGGGCCAGAUACACGUAGCCUAAUAAUCCAGUGAAAAUAAAAUUUCUAGAUAGAGUCCUAGAGGGAAGAUUCCAGCAAACGGGAACGAGAGGUGUCCAGUGUGUGAGAGAGGACCAGGGCCAGUGGAAGACCACAGAUUGGGGAGGAAGAUGGCAGGCGAAGGGCUUCUAAGUACAGGAAUGCCUAGUUCGGGGUUGUUCCUGUGUGGUACCAUGCUAUGACCCCCCACCCCCCACCCCGUCGCCUGAAAACUGAUCCAGGCUGAUAUUCACCAAGAGCUCUGCGUGAAUGAUGCUGAUGCUGGUGGAGAGCGGGACAGUCCAGGGAAGCAGCGGCUGGGGCUCCUAUCUGAGGCAGUUACAAGACAGGACGUGGCAGGCAGGAUGGUGACAUGACCCCACACUGACCAGGUCAUAUAAGAACUCAGAGGGCAGGGGUGCUAGAGAAGAUCUAAGAGACGCCCCCGAGAUUGUGAGAGAGAGGGGUUCCCAUCUUCAAGUCUGUGUGAGAGAGUAGCCUCGCUGGUUGGUCGGCAAAAGUGGAUGAGCUUCGCAGCUCAAAGGACGGGCACCCUUAACCAAUAUCCAAGUGAUUGGGUUGAGUGGGACCAGGAGCCCAGGAAAGAGAUGGGCGAGACCCUUUUGCAGGUGCCACCUCCCCAAGCAGCCCAUGAGGAGUCCCAGAACCCCUAAGGCAAGUGGAUCACAUUUAAAACAGAUUAAUCCCUCCCUCCUCACUUUACAAAUGGGAAAUCAUAAAGAGAAUGGCUGAUGAUUGUCACGUCAUACCAAUGCAAAAAAAAAAAAAAACAAACCAAACCAAACCAAAACAAAAACCCUCCACAAAACCCC